UUGUGUUCUGUGAAACUGAAAAAUAGUCUUAUACCGAGUUCUUUAUAGCGAGCUUCGACUUUGCUCAGAUUUAUGAAAGGAUUUUUGUAAAUUCAAUCCCUCAGCAUGGUCCAAUAAAAUACUCUCCUUAUGGGAAUAAAGAGGAAUUUGAAAUUGUAUAGUUCACGCGUACAAAGUCGCGGGCAUAAGCUAGUGAGAUAUAUGAACUCCUUUUUUAUUAGGUACAUAUUUUAAAAACUUUGGAUCAAACUUCUUUCAAUUUACCGUCAAUUUUUUGAAAAGUCAACGUCAAAAACCAUUACUAGGUAUAUAUCUUGAUUUCGACCAUUUCAACUUAUUAGUUAUCUUGUAGUGCCUAAUAUAGACCGAAUAAAACGUAAUAUUAUUAUGCUAGGCAAGAAUUUAUACACACUGUUAAGAGGCACGAGAGUUCCGAAGUUCCAUGUGCCUAAGAGGAACUGGGCCCAAGUUGGCAUGCACAUAGCAGUUCCAUCCAGAUGUAAAUGUUCCUAUGGGGAAAUGCUCUUGCAUAUAGCAUUCAUGUACACCGUGUGGAUGUCACCAAUAGCGUUCCUCUUGACUCAGCUGAAAGUGUGGCGGCGAGAAUAUAUUCAGAACUAAUUUAAUUCAGCCUGUUCCUCUUGUCCCUACUAAGGUUUCCCCCAUGGUGGGUAAAAAUGGAUUUUUCCCCACUUAUCCCUACUACUAGGGAACUCACCAGGGGACUACUUGGUCAGGUCAAGUGGAACAUGCCUUCAAUAAUUUUAUUAACGGUUCUUGUCGAAUAAAGUAUCGAGAAAUGAAUUGUU